rnacentral:tRNA from 1 species
GGGCCUGUAGCUCAAUGGUAGAGCUGGCUGCUCAUAACGGCUAGGUUGGGGGUUCGAGUCCCUCCGGGCCCACCA